AACGCGAAGAACCUUACCUGGGCUCGAAAUGUAGUGGAAUACGGUGGAAACAUCGUCGUCUCGCAAGAGACUGCUAUAUAGGUGCUGCAUGGCUGUCGUCAGCUCGUGUCGUGAGAUGUUGGGUUAAGUCCCGCAACGAGCGCAACCCUUAUUACCUGUUGCUAACGCGUAAUGGCGAGGACUCGGGUGAAACUGCCUGGGAUAACCAGGAGGAAGGUGGGGAUGACGUCAAGUCCUCAUGGCCUUUAUGUCCAGGGCUACACACGUGCUACAAUGGUCGGUACAAACCGUCGCAAACCCGCGAGGGGGAGCUAAUCGGAAAAAGCCGGCCUCAGUUCGGAUUGGAGUCUGCAACCCGACUCCAUGAAGCUGGAAUCGCUAGUAAUCGCGGAUCAGAACGCCGCGGUGAAUACGUUCCCGGGCCUUGUA
rnacentral:rRNA from 1 species